rnacentral:rRNA from 1 species
AUGGACCAUUCCAUCCCUUUUUCCCGUGCAUAUGCAUCGGACUCGGAUGACGAUGGUCCCGAUGAACAAGUUGAUGCGGAGGGGUUCACGGUGAAGGAGGCCGAAGCUUUCGAGAAGGUAUUUGGUCGGGAUCAUCGGACUACAUUGUUCAAGGAUGUUAGUCUCGCGGAUGAAGCCGUGGUAGAUGGUGGCCAAUGUGUAGCUCUUGGGGUUAGGCCAAGCUCUCAUCGUGAUUUGGUAGACGGCAAGAACCGGAUUGCUAAAGGUUCUAAGUUUGACAGCUUGUUGGAUUUGAAGAUGUGGCUCGACAACUACUCGGUUACGCAUUAUCGUCCACACAAGGUGGUGCACUCGGACGUCAAUGUGCGCUACACGGUUGCAUGUGCAUGUGAAGAUGAAAAGGAGGUCCAACUUGGACUUUCAAGAGGCCGUGGUGGUGGUAGAGGUCGUGGAAAGGAGGUUCAACAAGGAGUGGCAAGACGCCGUGGCGGUUGUCCGUGGAUUGUGCGUGCAAGACCAUGGAAAGGAGGUCCUACUUGGCAUGUAGUGAGUUGUGUGCCAACUCACAUGUGCCAAGGAAAAAGGGUGGAUGGCAAGAUUGUGUCCCAAGACCACAAACAACUCACGUCCGAGUUCAUCGCUUACAGGCUCUCGAACUCAAUAUCCACACUUCCAACAAUGAGCGUCCAACAUGUCAUUGACCUUGUGAAAGCCAUCAGCAAACAUUGUCCUCGAUACCACGUACCACAUGUAGACACGAGCAUAAGUCUUCACCAUGUCCUCAUUAGCAUCAUCGGGGCAAUGAGCGAAGUGCGAUGA